UACAGAGGGUGCGAGCGUUGUCCGGAAUCACUGGCGUAAGGGCGCGUAGGUGGCCCGACAAGUCAGUGGUGAAAGUUCGACGCUUAACGUCGAAUCGGCCACUGAUACUGUUGGGCUGGAGCACUGUAGAGGCUCAUGGAAUUCCGGGUGUAGCGGUGGAAUGCGUAGAGAUCCGGAAGAACACCGGUGGCGAAGGCGGUGAGCUGGGCAGUUGCUGACACUGAGGCGCGACAGCGUGGGAGCAACAGG
rnacentral:rRNA from 1 species